GCAAUUCAGAGAUAUGGCUGGAGAGGAUGACAAAGAACAAGAGAAGUUUGGCAGCAUGAGUGUGUGGCAGUUAUGGGAAAUGUUGAGGGGCAAGGUGGGUAAUUGCAGUGACUAUUUCUACAAACUAUUGGAGGCGGCAACUGGUGAAGAAGCUCAAUCUCCUUGAAGAUUUCAGCGGCAUUAUGAGGGGUUCAAACACUGUUGGUGUUCCAGGAACUUCUAGUUGAUCAUGUAUUGACUCCAUUACGACUCAUAAUCGACUGGCUGGAGGUUACUUGGAUACAAGCUGCAGUAGCACUUCUAGCAUUGAACUGUCUAAGCAUAGUCCUAAAGCAAAAGGACUGUUAAUUGGAAGGGCCAAUAAAACUGCAGAGCCGGAAGUUAUCCAUCGUCAGCUGCUGCUGUCAACAGCUCCAAACUGGCCAAGAACCCGGUCGAAGGCAAGUCAAGAAACAGGAUGGACUGGAUUGACAGCCACACUUGAUGCCUUUAUAUGGCGAACCACUGGAACAAACGAUAAAAGGAUAUAAAUCAUGCACGCUAUCUGACCCCGAGCCAAAUUGGAAUGCUGAUGUA